AUUGAACGCUGGCGGAAUGCUUUACACAUGCAAGUCGAGCGGCAGCACGGGGGCAACCCUGGUGGCGAGUGGCGAACGGGUGAGUAAUACAUCGGAACGUGCCCGGUCGUGGGGGAUAACGUAGCGAAAGUUACGCUAAUACCGCAUACGAUCUGAGGAUGAAAGCGGGGGACCUUCGGGCCUCGCGCGAUCGGAGCGGCCGAUGUCAGAUUAGGUAGUUGGUGGGGUAAAGGCCUACCAAGCCGACGAUCUGUAGCUGGUCUGAGAGGACGACCAGCCACACUGGGACUGAGACACGGCCCAGACUCCUACGGGAGGCAGCAGUGGGGAAUUUUGGACAAUGGGCGCAAGCCUGAUCCAGCCAUUCCGCGUGCAGGACGAAGGCCUUCGGGUUGUAAACUGCUUUUGUAUGGAACGAAAAGGCUCUGGCUAAUACCUGGGGCUCAUGACGGUACCGUAAGAAUAAGCACCGGCUAACUACGUG
rnacentral:rRNA from 1 species